UAUGCUUUUAAGUUAGUCCUGUGAGGCUAAGAAGGUAGAAUCUUUAGUAACGGUAGACUUAGACUAGCCUGAGCUAGAUCUAAGUAAAUGUAUUGAGAUUAAACCACUUAGUUAAGCUUGGCCUAACUAAGUGGUUUUUUGU
rfam:Lactobacillus saerimneri 30a contig00023, whole genome shotgun sequence.